CCUACGGGAGGCAGCAGUGGGGAAUAUUGCACAAUGGGGGAAACCCUGAUGCAGCGACGCCGCGUGAGUGAAGAAGUAGUUCGGUAUGUAAAGCCCUAUCAGCAGGGAAGAAAAUGACGGUACCUGAUUAAGAAGCCCCGGCUAACGACGUGCCAGCAGCCGAGGUAAUACGUAGGGGGCAAGCGUUAUCCGGAUUUACUGGGUGUAAAGGGAGCGUAGACGGCAGCACAAGUCUGGAGUGAAAUGCCGGGGCUUAACCCCGGAACUGCUUUUGAAACUGUGCAGCUAGAGUGCAGGAGAGGUAAGUGGAAUGCGUAGUGUAGCGGUGAAAUGCGUAGAUAUUAGGAGGAACACCAGUGGCGAAGGCGGCUUACUGGACUGUAACUGACGUUGAGGCUCGAAAGCGUGGGGAGCGAACAGGAUUAGAUACCCCAGUAGUC
rnacentral:rRNA from 1 species